rnacentral:piRNA from 1 species
UCUCAGGUCACAUCUUGGUACCAGAGAUGGUC